GGUGGGUCCAAGUGCCGUGGUGUUUACCAUUAAUUGAUCACAGCCAGUUACAGAUUUCUUUGUUCCUUCUUCACUGCCAUUGAUUCGCGUGACUAGCAGAA
rnacentral:Y_RNA from 1 species